rnacentral:rRNA from 1 species
UACAGAGGGUGCUAGCGUUAUUCGGAAUUACUGGGCGUAAAGCGCAUGUAGGCGGUUCGGUAAGUCUGAUGUGAAAUCCCCCGGCUCAAUCGGGGAAGUGCAUCGGAUACUGCCGGACUGGAGUACAGGAGAGGAGAACGGAAUUCCUGGUGUAGAGGUGAAAUUCGUAGAUAUCAGGAGGAACAACAGCGGCGAAGGCGGUUCUCUGGACUGUAACUGACGCUGAGAUGCGAAAGCGUGGGGAG